CCGGCGACCGGCGCACGGGUGAGUAACACGUAUGCAACCUGCCCGUCUCAGGGGGAUAAUCGUCGGAAACGGCGUCUAAUACCCCGUAUGGAGCUGGACGGCAUCGUCUGGUUUUGAAAGAAUAUCGGAGACGGAUGGGCAUGCGGCGCAUUAGCUAGUUGGCGGGGUAACGGCCCACCUAACCGACGAUGCGUAGGGGUUCUGAGAGGAAGGUCCCCCACACUGGUACUGAGACACGGACCAGACUCCUACGGAAGGCAGCAG
rnacentral:rRNA from 1 species